rnacentral:rRNA from 1 species
UACGGGGGGGGCAAGCGUUGUUCGGAAUUACUGGGCGUAAAGGGUCUGUAGGCGGCCAACUAAGUCAGACGUGAAAUCCCCCGGCUCAACCGGGGAACUGCGUCCGAGACUGGAAGGCUCGAAUCCGGGAGAGGGAUGUGGAAUUCCAGGUGUAGCGGUGAAAUGCGUAGAUAUCAGGAGGAACACCGGUGGCGAAGGCGGAUCUCUGGGCCAUUACUGACGCUGAGGAGCGAAAGCGUGGGGAGCGAACAGG